UACGUAGGGGGCGAGCGUUGUCCGGAAUUAUUGGGCGUAAAGCGCGCGCAGGCGGUCUCUUAAGUCUGAUGUGAAAGCCCACGGCUCAACCGUGGAGGGUCAUUGGAAACUGGGGGACUUGAGGGCAGGAGAGGAGAGCGGAAUUCCACGUGUAGCGGUGAAAUGCGUAGAGAUGUGGAGGAACACCAGUGGCGAAGGCGGCUCUCUGGCCUGCACCUGACGCUGAGGCGCGAAAGCGUGGGGAGCAAACAGG
rnacentral:rRNA from 3 species